rnacentral:rRNA from 1 species
UACGGGGGGAGCAAGCGUUGUUCGGAUUUACUGGGCGUAAAGGGCGCGUAGGCGGCGCAACAAGUCACUUGUGAAAUCUCCGGGCUUAACCCGGAGCGGUCAAGUGAUACUGUCGUGCUAGAGUGCAGAAGGGGCAACUGGAAUUCUCGGUGUAGCGGUGAAAUGCGUAGAUAUCAGUCGGAACACCGGUGGCGAAGGCGGGUCUCUGGGCCGAUACUGACGCUGAGGAGCGAAAGCGUGGGGAGCGAACAGG